UAAGGAAUAUUGGUCAAUGGACGGAAGUCUGAACCAGCCAUGCCGCGUGCAAGAAGAAGGCCCUACGGGUUGUAAAUUGCUUUUAAUCGAGAAUAACAGUAACUACGUGUAGUUGUAUGAAAGUAUCGAUAGAAUAAGGAUCGGCUAACUCCGUGCC
rnacentral:rRNA from 1 species